AGCUCCCAGAACUGAAAGCACACGUACACAGCACUUGGAGCCAGCACUUGGCAUUGUGCUUGCCCGCACAGACAGGGAGCACACAUCACAGGGUGCGUGGGGUGGCAGGCACAGAACGAUGUGCCUUCUGCGAUGGCUCCUGAGCCCCAAGGUACAGAACUGAAACAGGGCUCUCAGCUAGCUUUGAAAAUCAGUAUGCGCAAAGCACCUUGUUACCAUCAGUCAUGCCUAAAAUUAAUAGUGCAGCACUGAGCUGUUCUCCCCAAACACUUUUCUGAGGAGCCUAGUGCUUCUAGGUAGGGUACGGUUCUCAUUAGGUCUCUUCACAAGCAAAACUUCCUCGAAAGCCCCCCUGCUUCAAGGCCGGGGCCCACAUCUUUUGAUCCAGUUCCUUGCCUUUUUGUCCCACUAACUUCAGUGCACUUGUGUUUGUUUUACCGUAUGCUGUGGUACCUGUUCCCAUGGCAGCACUGCAUGUGCUGAGGGCAGCAGCCUGCCAAACUUCCCUGUGGCCUUUCCAGCCGCUGCAAUUCAACCUGCCUGCUCCGUCUGCACGGAGGAAAACCUUGUGCCUUGCAUUGCUCUGCUGUUCAGAACAAACCCAGAUGCCUCUGUGUGCGGGUGCCAGUGCCCUCUCCUGGACACAGCCCGCAGGCCGGCAGCUUGCUUCCCAGUUCCUCUCUGCAGAAUGACAUAAUGCAAUAUGCGGUAUAUAUGUUUUUAGAAACUAGAGAGGUAAAUUCUGUCCUCUGUUCUGAAUAUAAGCCUGGUCCUGCGUGCCCACCACUAGAGUUUGAAAUCGUCAGCUUCGACCAACCGUAAUUUGACCAGAGAGCCCAAAGCAGUUCCCAGAGGAAGCCGGUACUGGCAGAGCAGGGUCCUUCCCAGAGAAGGUUUCUACAUCUGAGGAAGCACAGUGUUUGAUAGCACCAGUAACUAAGCAAAAAGACCAGGACACUUCAAAUCAAUGGUGGAGAAUAUUGGGCUACCAAAAGCAGAGUUUCCUUCAGGCCAGACUUCAAAAGUGUAGAUCAGAUUUUUUCAUCUUUUCCUCCAUUUUUUUCAAUCUUUGCAUCUUUUUUCUUUUCUUUUAAUCCAACUGAUAAAGUAUGAAACUUUAAAAAAAAAAAAAGAAAAAAAAGAAAGAGAA